GUGUCGGGGGGCGCAUGUCCACUAAUACCACAUCAAUAGAGUCGGCCCAAGGCAUAACUAACUAAAAAUAUGACCACCAGGGGGCCUGCGAGUGCAAUUAACAGUGCAGCGCAGCAUAAAAUAAUCAUACGAAUUAUAAUAGAGUAUUACCACUAAAAAUGAAGCGGGAGUUUUAGGAAACCAUUUUGGAAUAAAUACCUGUGGAAACUAAAGAAAAUGUCCUCUGCUUGUUUUCGACUGUUUAUCAGACUAGCAACCAGAACACAGCAAACGGACCUACGAUUGUCGAGAGGAUUCAGAAGCAAUGCGGAAUUGGCGACAUUUCUGCUCCACAGGCCCCAUGGAAGCGUGGCCCGGCUCUGCCAAUCAAUCAGAAGUACUCACCGGUGUUGGAGUUGGCCGAAGGUGCAGUCUGGAGGUGAGGGGAGGAAUAUGCUGAAGAGUCAAAGCUGCGUGGCGCAGAUGGAGAUGGAGGCAACAUGCAAGAGUACGAGGAGGCCGACUGCGGAGGGAUGGACUGAGAAGCUGUCCAUCUAUCCAGGUAUGCUCUUGGAUGAAGUCGUGCUGAUGCAGUUGUCAGGACUAACCUGGACUCCAGAUGAGAAGACUGACAGCGAGCUGUAGCUUGGUAGCGACGACUCGGCCUGACUCAACAUGGACCCUGCAGGAGAAGAGAAACCAAAGAGUGAGCGCACGCAAACGCGCGUACACACACACUCAGGAGUCUUUGAAAAUCUGCACAGAUGGGCCAGAGCCCAAAGGGGGCUUCGCUCGGGCGCCAUUCAAGCUAGGGCCAUAUCUGGCUGUACUUGGCCCAGGCAAACACAAGUCAAGGUAGCAUUGUUUUUUUUUGUUUUUUGUUUUGUUUUUUGGAACACUAAGUGAAUUAAGCUUACCCGAACUGCUGCCGUGCUGCUGAUGGUAGACGGACGUGUUAAAGGAAGUGGUUAGGGGGGCUUGACUCUGCGAACAGGAAGUCACUCCUCCCGACCUCCUUUGGUUGCGCAGCUUCUCCUCCCGCCUCCACUUGGCUCUCCGGUUGGAGAACCACACCUUGGCCGAGCAGAGGGGUCAGCUCAUCACGACAUCACAUCUAUGAUGUUGAUGAUGAUCGUAAAGAAGCGACAGAACGCUGCCUUGUUUUUUUUUUUUAAUUAUUAUUAUGAUUGUUUUAAUACAAAAAACAUUUUUACCUGCUAUUUCGGGCAAAAAAAAAGCAACACCCAGAGCUUGUUGGUGACAACACGUCCGACUAUAACUCCUUUUCAAAAUAAUAAAUAGGCUUUAUAUAAAGUGACGAUUCCUAAACACGGUGACCCUUUUUUUUCCAAUUUCUGACAA